AUUGUUUUGGCAGAUUUUAUGCUCUAGAUUUAGGUUCUAGUCAAAUAGAGAGAUUCUAUAAAUAAUAAAUCAAUUAGAGUUAGUUGAUUU
rnacentral:tRNA from 1 species